UGGGGAAUAUUGCACAAUGGGCGAAAGCCUGAUGCAGCAACGCCGCGUGAGUGAUGAAGGUCUUCGGAUUGUAAAGCUCUGUCUUUUGGGACGAUAAUGACGGUACCAAAGGAGGAAGCCACGGCUAACUACGUGCCAGCAGCCGCGGUAAUACGUAGGUGGCGAGCGUUGUCCGGAUUUACUGGGCGUAAAGGGUGCGUAGGCGGAUGUUUAAGUGAGAUGUGAAAUACCCGGGCUUAACUUGGGUGCUGCAUUUCAAACUGGAUAUCUAGAGUGCAGGAGAGGAGAAUGGAAUUCCUAGUGUAGCGGUGAAAUGCGUAGAGAUUAGGAAGAACACCAGUGGCGAAGGCGAUUCUCUGGACUGUAACUAACGCUGAGGCACGAAAGCGUGGGUAGCAAACAGGAUUAGAUACCCUGGUAGUCCACGCCGUAAACGAUGAGUACUAGGUGUAGGAGGUAUCGACCCCUUCUGUGCCGCAGUAAACACAUUAAGUACUCCGCCUGGGAAGUACGAUCGCAAGAUUAAAACUCU
rnacentral:rRNA from 1 species